rnacentral:lncRNA from 1 species
AUGGAUAUGAUCUUCAGUGCCAGCAGGAAGCCGAUCAGCGCUCUUAUUUGUAUUAGCAAAGCGUUCACAACCAUACAGGUUCUGGAGAGCAGACAUACUUUCCUUGGUGGAAAUGGCCUACGUAGGGCCUCGUGGGAGAAAGUAGGUGAUCUUCAAAAGCCUGCCGCCCGCCGCCGCCAUGCCCUUCUCCAACAGCCACAACACGUUGAAGCUGCGCUUCCCGGCCGAGGACGAGUUCCCCGACCUCAGCGGCCACAACAACCACAUGGCCAAGGUGCUGACCCCCGAGCUGUACGCGGAGUUGCGCGCCAAGAGCACGCCAAGCGGCUUCACGCUGGACGACGUCAUCCAGACCGGCGUGGACAACCCGGGGCACCCCUACAUCAUGACCGUGGGCUGCGUGGCAGGCGACGAGGAGUCAUAUGACGUGUUCAAGGAGCUCUUUGACCCCAUCAUCGAGGACCGGCACGGCGGCUACAAGCCCAGCGACGAGCACAAGACCGACCUCAACCCCG